GCUACGAUAGAUCAAUGGCAGAUCGUCUCCAACUUAUAUUCGUAGAAGACAUCACAAGUUAGGAGGAAAUUAUGGUUUGACUCCGUAUUGUAGUA